rnacentral:rRNA from 1 species
GACGUAGGGCGCGAGCGUUGUCCGGAUUUAUUGGGCGUAAAGAGCUCGUAGGCGGCUUGUCGCGUCGUUCGUGAAAACCUGCGGCUCAACUGCAGGCUUGCGGUCGAUACGGGCAGGCUGGAGUUCGGUAGGGGAGACUGGAAUUCCUGGUGUAGCGGUGAAAUGCGUAGAUAUCGAGAGGAACACCUGCGGCGAAGGCGGGUAGCUGGGCCGACACUGACGCUGAGGCGCGAAAGCCAGGGGAGCGAACGGG